CCCCUGGUGGUCUAGAGGAAAGGCACUGCACUAUCACUGCAGAGACCCGGGUUCGAUUCCCGGUCAGGGCC